AUUGAACGCUGGCGGCAGGCCUAACACAUGCAAGUCGAGCGGAUGAUGGUAGCUUGCUACCUGAUUCAGCGGCGGACGGGUGAGUAAUACCUAGGAAUCUGCCUGGUAGUGGGGGACAACGUUUCGAAAGGAACGCUAAUACCGAAUACGUCCUACGGGAGAAAGUGGGGGAUCUUCGGACCUCACGCUAUCAGAUGAGCCUAGGUACGAUUAGCUAGUUGGUGAGGUAAAGGCUCACCAAGGCGACGAUCGUUAACUGGUCUGAGAGGAUGAUCAGUCACACUAGAACUGAGACACGGUCCAGACUCCUACGGGAGGCAGCAGUGGGGAAUAUUGGACAAUGGGCGAAAGCCUGAUCCAGCCAUGCCGCGUGUGUGAAGAAGGUCUUCGGAUUGUAAAGCACUUUAAGUUGGGAGGAAGGGCAGUAAGUUAAUACCUUGCUGUUUUGACGUUACCGACAGAAUAAGCACCGGCUAACUUCGUGCCAGCCGCCGCCGUAAGAC
rnacentral:rRNA from 1 species